GAUGAACGCUGGCGGCGUGCCUAAUACAUGCAAGUCGAGCGAACAGACGAGGAGCUUGCUCCUCUGACGUUAGCGGCGGACGGGUGAGUAACACGUGGAUAACCUACCUAUAAGACUGGGAUAACUUUGGGAAACCGGAGCUAAUACCGGAUAAUAUAUUGAACCGCAUGGUUCAAUAGUGAAAGACGGUUUUGCUGUCACUUAUAGAUGGAUCCGCGCCGCAUUAGCUAGGUGGUAAGGUAACGGCUUACCAAGGCGACGAUGCGUAGCCGACCUGAGAGGGUGAUCGGCCACACUGGAACUGAGACACGGUCCAGACUCCUACGGGAGGCAGCAGUAGGGAAUCUUCCGCAAUGGGCGAAAGCCUGACGGAGCAACGCCGCGUGAGUGAUGAAGGUCUUCGGAUCGUAAAACUCUGUUAUUAGGGAAGAACAAAUGUGUAAGUAACUAUGCACGUCUUGACGGUACCUAAUCAGAAAGCCACGGCUAACUACGUG
rnacentral:rRNA from 1 species